UACAUGGGGUGCAAACGUUGCUCGGAAUCAUUGGGCGUAAAGCGCGCGUAGGCGGUUGCUUAAGUCGGAUGUGAAAGCCCUCGGCUUAACUGAGGAAGUGCAUCCGAAACUGAGCAGCUAGAGUACGAAAGAGGGUCGCGGAAUUCCCGGUGUAGAGGUGAAAUUCGUAGAUAUCGGGAGGAACACCAGUGGCGAAGGCGGCGACCUGGGCCAAUAUUGACGCUGAGGUGCGAAAGCGUGGGGAGCAAACAGG
rnacentral:rRNA from 1 species